rnacentral:rRNA from 1 species
GAUGAACGCUGGCGGCGUGCCUAAUACAUGCAAGUCGAGCGAACGGACGAGAAGCUUGCUUCUCUGAUGUUAGCGGCGGACGGGUGAGUAACUCGUGGAUAACCUACCUAUAAGACUGGGAUAACUUCGGGAAACCGGAGCUAAUACCGGAUGAUAUUUUGAACCGCAUGGUUCAAAAGUGAAAGACGGUCUUGCUGUCACUUAUAGAUGGAUCCGCGCUGCAUUAGCUAGUUGGUAAGGUAACGGCUUACCAAGGCAACGAUGCAUAGCCGACCUGAGAGGGUGAUCGGCCACACUGGAACUGAGACACGGUCCAGACUCCUACGGGAGGCAGCAGUAGGGAAUCUUCCGCAAUGGGCGAAAGCCUGACGGAGCAACGCCGCGUGAGUGAUGAAGGUCUUCGGAUCGUAAAACUCUGUUAUUAGGGAAGAACAUAUGUGUAAGUAACUGUGCACAUCUUGACGGUACCUAAUCAGAAAGCCACGGCUAACUACGUG